UGUUGGGGACUCACGGGAGACCGCCGGGGUCAACUCGGAGGAAGGUGGGGACGACGUCAAGUCAUCAUGCCCCUUAUGUCUUGGGCUGCACACGUGCUACAAUGGCCGGUACAAUGAGCUGCGAUACCGCGAGGUGGAGCGAAUCUCAAAAAGCCGGUCUCAGUUCGGAUUGGGGUCUGCAACUCGACCCCAUGAAG
rnacentral:rRNA from 1 species